UACGUAGGGUGCGAGCGUUUGUCCGGAAUUACUGGGCGUAAAGAGCUUGUAGGCGGUUUGUCGCGUCUGCUGUGAAAUUUCGGGGCUCAACCCCGAACUUGCAGUGGGUACGGGCAGACUAGAGUGUGGUAGGGGAGACUGGAAUUCCUGGUGUAGCGGUGAAAUGCGCAGAUAUCAGGAGGAACACCGAUGGCGAAGGCAGGUCUCUGGGCCAUAACUGACGCUGGGAAGCGAAAGCAUGGGGAGCGAACAGG
rnacentral:rRNA from 1 species